rnacentral:lncRNA from 1 species
CCUCUCUGUCACUCUCCCUGCCACCCCCUCGUUCUCCUUCCUCCCUCCUGCCUCUCUCUGCAUCUCUCCCUCUCACCCGUGUCUCCUCUCUUCUCUUUCCUUCUCGUCUUCUCCCUGUCACGCAUCUCUCAUCACUCCCCCUCAUUCUGCCUUUCCUCCUACUCACGGUCUCCUCUCCCUCUCCCCCUCCCUCUUUCUCUCUCUCUCUCUCUUUCUCCACCUCCUCCCGACCCCCUUUCCCCUCUAUUUCUAUUGGCUUCUGCGUCCCUUGCUCCCCUCUUCUCUUCCUCACUCUGGGAAGCUUCUCCCCCCUAUCCUUGCCCCUGCCCCCCCAGGAUGUGUCCUGGAGAUGGGGGGUGACGUACCAGGCGCUGGUUGGGAAGUCAGGGCCGGAGACCAGAUGGGAGAGGCUCUGUGGACAGCCGUGGCCGAGGGCCUGGGAGGGAACCUGAGCCCGCAAGCGGUCUAGAAGUGGGUGCCGUGUGGGGACCCUAGUUAGGAGUGCCCUGGGGGCACCUGGGGACUGGGCAGGGAGAGGGGACAGCAGAAUGAUAACCAGCCUGGCGGCAAGGAGGGAAGCCCUCACCCCAUGGGCAGUCCUCCAAGGAGUCCGCCCCCAGCUUUCAGGCAAGCUUGUGCCAA